rnacentral:rRNA from 1 species
UACGAAGGGGGCUAGCGUUGCUCGGAAUCACUGGGCGUAAAGCGCACGUAGGCGGAUUGCUAAGUCAGGGGUGAAAUCCUGGAGCUCAACUCCAGAACUGCCUUUGAUACUGGCGAUCUCGAGUCCGGGAGAGGUGAGUGGAACUGCGAGUGUAGAGAUGAAAUUCGUAGAUAUUCGCAAGAACACCAGUGGCGAAGGCGGCUCACUGGCCCGAUACUGACGCUGAGGUGCGAAAGCGUGGGGAGCAAACAGG